CUUCCUGACAGCUGUGAUAGCGUGCCAAGCACUGCAUUAGGGACUAGGGGUGGGGAUGAUGAAGGCAGGGGCUGCUCCUGUAGCUGAGAUCUGGGGUUGACCUUCGGAGUCAGUGUGAGGAGGUCAGAGAAUGACCGAUUUGGGUUUUAGCCUACUAACUGAUCACUGAGAGCAACCCCAUGAACAUGCUAAGCAGGAUUAAAUUUAUCAGUGUUGGGACAGCUCUGUGGAGUAGCUGGAGCCAUCCCUGCGUUUGCCGCCGGGGUUAGGGGAGAAAGAACUGCAAAGAGAGGUUCCUAUAAACCUUGCAUUCCUGAGAGUGGCUGCAUGUAAGCCCUUCCCAGCAGAGGUUGCUGACUAUCCCAAGGACUAUUCUAGUGCAGUGUGAGUGGAAGAAAGACCUUCAUUCUGGAGGAUGCUCUGCUUGGCCUGGAUGCUGCCCAUCAGAAGCCCCAGCAAGACUGUUUUCAGCAGGAAUUCCCCAGGUUUGAUGACAUCAUUCUGCUCGCUGUCCCAGUACUGAGUGUCCUCCAAGCCUCACUUUUCCCCCUGCGGUCCGGCAGAGAAUGGUGGCGUCACCCUAGAGCGAGGAUUUGCAGACCAACUGGAGUGUCUCCUUCCUGAGCAUUCAGCCUACAAUCCCAAGGGACUGAGUUGGCUCCAGUGCAGUAUACAUGGAAGUGGUACUUGCUCUUUGGGGCUUGGCCUCAGAACUAUCCUGGAUGGAGGUCAGAGCUUACCGUAUGGUCAGGUCUGUCUUCGCAUAGCCGUCGUACUGUGUGCUCCUCUGCAGUGCAUGCAUAUCCAGUUCAGGACUGCCACAAACCAGGAUUUCUACUUCUUCUGGACGAAGCAGCUAUCAAUAAUCACAAAAACCAUAAUUCAAAAUGAUAGUCUUGCCGGGCAGUGGCGGUGCCCUCCUUUAAUCCCAGCACUCGGGAGGCAGAGGCAGGCGGAUUUCUGAGUUCGAGGCCAGCCUGGUCUACAAAGUGAGUUCCAGGACAGCCAGGGCUGCACAGAGAAACCCUGUCUUGAAAAUCCAAAUUUAAAAAAAUGAUAGUCUUAAAUGAAAUUUGAAGUGUUUUUAUUGCAGAAUCAAAUCAUAGAAAUUAUGACACUGUCUCAGUAAAUAAAAUUACUUUUUUGUUGAAGAAAA
rnacentral:lncRNA from 1 species